UCUCACAAGUCUGCCCCAGGGUUAGGAGCUGUCCCGUGUCAGAGCUGGCCCUCAGCCCGGGCAGAUGCAACCCCCUGGAGAGCCUGUUGGCGUGCUCGGGGUCACGAUGUGACGAUACGCCACCUCCUUCCCCCAUCCAGGCUGACAGGAACCGCUCGUCACACUACCCACACGUAGGAUGAGAGGCUCGAGGAGGCCUCUUCUCUUCUCCCGGCGUUGAAGCAGCACCAAGCUUACCGCCAUCACGAGGCUCCCAUCAGCUUGCACACACGCUGCAGGCCCUGCAGUGGGAUGCUGUGAAGAAUUUCUAGUCUUGUUGUCAAUCAUCAAGCUCAGUUUCACAACAUUAAUCAGAAACUGCGUUUCAGAUGUCCUGACGUCUGCUCCUCUACUAGAGAGAGACAACCACUGAAAAAAUCACUCCACAAACCAUCAUUCAUACAAGUAUGUUGUACGAGGUGGUGACUGGGCCCUCAUUUCUGCCUGCAACAAAAUCUUCCUUGCAUCAUCAGGAAAAACUCUUGACAAAAAGAUGCUCCAACAAUUAGCUGAAGAGAAGGAAGUUGGACACAUUUAAGGAAAAUCCUACAAGCCUUUCUCGCACCCUUCCUCCUAAGGUUUUAUUUUUUAACUAAAGAAAAUUGCAGCUUCUUUUGAUGUUAGCAGUACAAAGAAUGAGUGAAUUGGUUGAUGGCAAAUUCGUUGUUACUGUCUGACUGGAGACAAACGCACCGAGGAGCCCAUUUUAUCAAUUUCUGAUAAAUCCCUACUAGAAGGAGAUGAGGAAAACACUGGGAAUGUUGGGACUUCUGCUACAGGAAAGCGACAAAUCAUUCAUGAGCUUCAGAUGACCAAAGGAUGAGAUUUAGGAAAGGAUUCAAUUAAGGGAAUGCAAAAACGGCAGCUCUCCCCCCCAGAAAAUGUUAUAAGGAAAUACCAUAUCGAUGAAUUACUCUUGGAUAGCCGCCACUGCUUUACGUAUUGACGUUAUGCCUUGUUAGGUCACAUCCUUGAUUUUUUUUUUAGUGGUGCCUGGGACAAUGCUGUUUACAAGAAAGGAGGAUACUCCUUUCCUUGUAAAGGAAAAUAUAUUCAUACCACCCUACGAACUAGCAAAUGUCUUUGAUUGUACAGCUUGCUGAAAGCCGAGUUGCACCAUUUUUUUCACGUGAUCUCCUUUCUCUCUUAGGAGAGGCAGCUCUCCCCGUUUCCCAUAUACGUACCUGCCAUGGUAUACUCUGUAAAAUACUUCCUAGCCAAACUUGACAAAUAAAAAUGUAUUGUGGACAACUAACAAGCAUCCACUGAAGUAGCUACCAUGUGCAUCUACUUCAAUUAGAUUUAUUUUACCAGAAUUGAAAGAAAAUGCUUUAUAAAAGUCCUCUUGAAAGUGAUGCAUGUGGUUAAGAUAUUUUGAUAAUGUUAUCUCAUGUAUAUGGUUAAUGCCAACUCGCCAUCUGUUUGCACAAACAGGAAACACCUCCUGAUAUCUGUCCUGUUCACCUUUUCUUAACACAACAACCACAGCGAAAGAAAAAAAAAAAAAAAGGAAAUUGCUUUGCAUUUCAUCUUUUAAAGUAACAUUUUUAGAGUUUGCUGCUCUGCAUAGGCGCCAUUACUUAGCAUUUGGUAUAAAUGUUGUCUUCUUACAUACAAAAUUUCAUUAAAAAUAUACGUAUAAUGUACUGAAAACAAAAAAAACUCUCAUUUGCUUUUCAGAUGACUCCGAAGUAUGCGUACCGAUAAAAUAAAGAAAAAGUGUGGUUGUGAAUGACA